CACAGGACAAGGCUCUUGCCAGGGGCGGUUCCUCCCAUCCCUCAUUCCUGGGAGAAGGGAGGUGAGGUUGCGAUGAGCGUUUUCGAAGCACUCAUGAUAGCGAUCAAUUUGGCCGUGCUCGUUGUCGCGAUCAUCAACACCAACAGAAAAGACCGCCCCUGAGCCAAAGGAUCGCGGUCUUUUCGCGUUCUAGGAGCCGCCCCUUGUGAGGGCUCCUGUGCGGCCAUCGGUGUGAGCAGCACCGAUG
rnacentral:sRNA from 1 species